UAACCUGCCUUAUAGACCGGAAUAACCUUUCUAACGAGGGGCUAAUACCGGAUGUGGCUAAUCAUGAGCAUUUAUGAUAAGCUAAAGAGUUAUAUAAUCGCUAUAAGAUGGAUUUAUGUGGUAUCAGGUAGUUGGUGAGGGAACGGGUCACCCAAGCCCACGACGCCUAGCCGACCUGAGAGGGUGAUCGGCCACAUCGGGACUGAGACACGGCCCGGACUCCUACGGGAGGCAGCAGUAGGGAAUUUUGGGCAAUGGGUUAGGAGCCUGACCCAGCAAUGCCGCGUGAGGGAUGACGCCCUGCGGGGUGUAAACCUCUGUCACCGGGGAAGAAUACCUGACGGUACCCGGAAAGGAAGCACCGGCUAACUUCGUGCCAGCAGCCGCGGUAAUACGAAGGGUGCAAGCGUUGCGCGAAAUUACUGGGCGCAAAGGGUCUGAAGGCGGUUUGUUAAGUCUGGCUUGAAAUACAACAGCUCAACUGUUGGACCGGGUCAGAUACUGGCAGACUAGAGUUCGAGAGAGGAAACCGGAAUUCCGGGAGUAGCGGUGAAAUGCGUAGAUAUCCGGAAGAACGCCAGCAGUGAAGACGGGUUUCUGGCUCGAAACUGACGCUAAAGGACGAAAGCAUGGGUAUCAAAUGGGAUUAGAGACCCCAGUAGUCCAUGCCGUAAACGAUGAGUGCUAGACAUUGGAUUACUUCAGUGUCGCAGCUAACGCAUUAAGCACUCCGCCUGGGGACUACGUCCGCAAGGAUGAAACUCAAAGGAAUUGGCGGGGGCCCGCACAAGCGGUGGAACAUGUGGUUUAAUUCGAUGCAAAGCGAAGAACCUUACCAGGACUUGACAUCCCGAUCGUAUAGAUUAGAGACAAUCUAGUCAGUUCGGCUGGAUCGGAGACAGGUGUUGCAUGGCUGUCGUCAGCUCGUGCCGUGAGGUGUUCGGUUAAGUCCGGCAACGAGCGCAACCCCUUUCCUUAGUUACCAGCGGAUAAUGCCGGGGACUCUAGGGAUACAGCCCGGGUAACCGGGAGGAAGGAGGGGAUGACGUCAAGUCAGCAUGGCCUUUAUGUCCUGGGCUACACACGUGUUACAAUGGUCGGUACAAAGCGAAGCAAAGCUGUAAGGUUGAGCCAACCGGCAAAACCGAUCUAAGUUCGGAUUGCAGUCUGCAACUCGACUGCAUGAAGUUGGAAUCGCUAGUAAUCGCGGAUCAGCAUGCCGCGGUGAAUCCUGUGCCCGGGCCUUGCACACACCGCCCGUCAAGUCACCCGAGUCGGGAGUAUCUGAAG
rnacentral:rRNA from 1 species